ACAGCAGUCGCCACGGUAAUACAGAGGGUGCGAGCGUUAAUCGGAUUUACUGGGCGUAAAGCGUGCGUAGGCGGCUUUUUAAGUCGGAUGUGAAAUCCCUGAGCUUAACUUAGGAAUUGCAUUCGAUACUGGGAAGCUAGAGUAUGGGAGAGGAUGGUAGAAUUCCAGGUGUAGCGGUGAAAUGCGUAGAGAUCUGGAGGAAUACCGAUGGCGAAGGCAGCCAUCUGGCCUAAUACUGACGCUGAGGUACGAAAGCAUGGGGAGCAAACAGGAUUAGAUACCCGGGUAGUCCCUGUCUCUUAUAA
rnacentral:rRNA from 1 species